rnacentral:lncRNA from 1 species
UGGAAGGACAGGAAACAAUGAAAAAUUGGUCACAGAAAGACAAGCAAAAAUGUAGCCAAAUGAAAUGAAUUGCCGCUACAGAAAGUUAUUUUGUCGGUAAGCUACCUUUCUAAGUUCUCACGAAGCUGAGAAACAAGUACACCAGAAUUUUCAAUCUUUUUUACCAAGUCAUCAUUUCUUUUUAGGAGGUCUUCAUUUCUCCUUAUUAGAUCAUCAUUUCUUCCAUGAGCCUCAGUACGUGCACUUUUUAUACCAUUGCCUUCUUGUUUCUCCAUUACAAAGUUAGACAAUCUUGAUAUGGCAUCUACUUGAAGCCUAAUUCGUAAAGACAUUAGUCACCAAAAGGAUGAUAUAAUGAUCAGUAAUUUGAUGGCACAGUAGUUGACAAUUAGAGAAAAGUAAAUUAAGAUACCAACUUCUGCACAGUAUCUUGAAGCUGGUGGGCCCUGUAUUCGCUAUCCCUAACUUUCUUAAAUAACACCUCAUUUCUCUCCUGAGCUUCAACAAGGGACCUCCUGAUUGCUUCAUUUUCUUGUCUUUCAGCUUCCAAAGAAGCUGUCAUAUCCUCCUUAACCCUGUUUUGGGAUAAAAACAACAGUUGCAACUUCACAAUGCAGAUUAGUAAUAAUGGAAAACAUGAAGAACUAUUAGAGUUAAGCAUACAAAUGAGGAAAUGAAUAAAACCUAGGUUUUGUGUGAUGCAUGCUGCAUAUCCCUAGUUGAUGAAAAGUCUUAAUCUAUCUCAGAUACUCACAAAUGCACUUCUAUGUUUAUUUUCUGCUGUUAUCAUUCUUUCAACUUUGAUAGGCUUGCAACACUGAAAGAUAAUCUGCAUGCAUGUGGCACAUAUCUGCCAUCAAUGUCUCGCUCUCUCUGCAUAUAUAUCUUUCCAGAACAUGUGAUCUUGAUUCAUUUUAGUGUUAUGCAAAAAAGGUAGUGGGACAUAAGAGUGUAUGAUCCUGACAAUAUGUCAUACUACAUUUAGUAUAGAAAGACAUCUAGGUGCUAUAUUAACAGCAUGUGAGGAUAAAAAAGUCUGGUUUUUAGUAUGGAACCACAUGCCUUGUACCACUGAUCUUGAGACAUGGGAAGAAAUUCCAAAAAAAAAAACAAUGAAUUUUUUUUUGAAGGGGGGGGGGGGUUCACAUGCUGACAAGGGAGAACUAUAGGAGCGUACUUGUAAUAUAAUAUACAUAAAGCUUUAUUGAAGGUACAUACGAAUUUAUAGUGUUUUGAAGAUGCUCAGCUUUUUUGUUGGCUUCUUCUGCUUUCAUCAGUAACUCUUCAUUUUUGUAUUCACUCUCAGUGAGUGCUUUCUUCAGUGCAUCCUUCUCAUGUCUCUCAGAUAUCAGCAAAGUGUCUUUCGCUGUAUUAUCACCAAGCCUGAAAUUGAUCACCAGUUAUUAUGUCAAGUACAUCUACAUUUACGUAAGCACACUCACUAACUAUAUGUAAGCAUUCCCAGAGCCAAGCACAGCUUAAUAAAAACAAUAGAUGUAUAAAGUACCUUUGUAUGCUGCCUUGAAGAAGACCAAUUUUUUUGUCAACGUCCUCAAGCUUCUUUAGUAACUGCAAAAUUCUUUCUUGACUUUCAGCUUGUGCCUUCAUGGUUGCACUGUUUUGUUCUCGUUCUCUCAACAGUAAAACCUCUGUAGCAGAUGCGUUUUCCUGAAGCCUAGUCUCAGGUAGAAAUAUGGAGUUGAUUCAAAAGUUAAAACAGAUAAUCUUCUGAUAGAAUUUAUGCCCCUAGAGGUUGUUAAGCAGACAAUAAGGAACGAUUAUGGACCUCUCAACAGUUAGCUGAAGCUGAAGAGUAUUUUUAUCAUAAUCCUGAAUUUUCUUGAUUAAUUCUUCAUUUCUACACUGAGUUUCGGUCAGAACUUUCUUGGUCGUCUCAUGUGCUUGUUUCUCUGAUAACAAAAGUGCAUCUCUGGAAGUAGCAUCCGCUUCAGACCUUUAAAAAUCACAGUGAAAGGUCACUAUCACAGUGUAAUGAUGAUACUGAGCAAGAAGUUGGGACACAUACUCAAGAGAAAGCAUCAGACCUCUUGAUGGUAUCUUCCAAUUGUUUUCUGGUUUCUUGGGACUGUUGUGACUCGUGUACUAAUUCAUUGAUCUUUUUCUGGGCGUUGGCUAUUUCUUCUUUAGUCGUUUUGUUUUCUUGUCUUUCUACUUCCAACAAAGAGUCUUUCUCCGCUGUGCGUUCUUCUAGUCUAUGUGCAAAAAGAAAAGAAAAUCCUCAAGAAACAGGCAGAUCAGAAAUGCUUGUAACAAAAGGAAUCUAACCUGUUAACUGAAUCCUCAAGCAUAUUGAUUUUUUUAGCUGAAUCCUCGAAACUUGUCAUCAAGUCUCGGUUUCUCCCUUGAGCUUCAGUUAGCGCUUUUACUGUACAGUCGAGAUUUUGUUUUGUCUUAAGCAGCAAAGAUUCCCUUGCCGUUGCAUGUUUCUCAAGUCUAAAAUCAUUAAGGAAGAGGAAGUAUGUGUUAGCUCAUAAAGUUGAAGUACAGGAUUAGCUCUCUUAAGUUGCACAUAUUGCAUUAUGCUUGAGUAAAGAAAGCUCAGCUCUACAACUAGUGACAAGAUAAGAACCUUUGAGCGUUCUCCAGCAUCUUGUUUAUAGUUUUUUCACUAUCAUCAACUUUCCUUAGCAAUUCCCAAUUUCUUUCCUGAGCUUUCAAAAGUGCUUGCUUGGUUUGAUCAUGCUCUUGCCUUUCUGCUACAUACAGGGCAUCCCUUGUGGUUGCAUUUUCCUCACACCUGUAUUCAGUGAGUGAGAAUUCUUAACGCUGCCAGCUCGUUAUAUUGAGGACUGGAAUAGAAAGGCAGAAGCAGCAUUGCUAAAGACGUCCAAAACGUACACAACAUCACCUGCACCUAUGAUCAAUCCUCUAUACGACACAUCAUUGCUAUGACAUAUAAUAUACUUUUUAAUCCUUUACUUUCAAAUAUUUCCAAAGAGGUAUUGAUAAAUGCAGCUGUGGAACUCCCUUUGUUGUUUCAUGUAACUACGACUCGCAUCGAGAUCUUAAGCACCUUGCUAAAACAUGCUUAUUAAUUUUCUUGUUGCACCAUUCAUGCUUGCAUGUUUUUUAUGCAAUUUGAGUAUAUGAACAACUAGAACGUCAAUUAUUCAUAUUCCUUUCAAACAAAAGAAAAAGAAUUCAUAGCACCAUUUGUCCUUUUCAAAGAAUGUAACAUUAGAAAUCAACCUUUUCAAAGAAUCUUGAAGCAGAUCAUUUGUCCUACGGGCAUCUGCAAAUUUCUUCUGCAGUACUUCAAUACCCUGUUGUGCUUCAGUUAAUUGUGAAAAGGUUGCAGUACUUUGUUGUUUUUCAGCUAACAAUGAAGUCUCCAAUGUUGUCACAGUUUCUUCAAGUCUAUGUUAAUUGAAAAGAAAAUUCAGCAUUGUUGAUUCAAGAUUAUUAUAGUAUAAUAAUAGUUAACAAAAUUUGGAAGGAGCUUAUAACUGAAGUCAAGCACGAAUCAAAUCACGGAAAGGAAAAUGCAAUUACCUUUGGAUGUUGUCUUGGAAGUUACUAAUGUCUUGUUCAGCUACUUCAAUUUUAUUGAGAAGUUCCUCAAUUUUUACAUGAGCUUCAUUGAGUGAUUGUUUGGUCGCUUCACUUUCUUGUCUUUCUGUAAGUAAAGUAGCCUCUCCCUCAAUUAAGCUUUCUUGCAGCCUGUGUCCACGAAGAAGAAAAGAUAAUGAAGUUUAAGUCAACCAAAUAGUCCUACUUUUCUAUGUGGUUGCCAAGAAUCACACAGAUAAUAUUACUGAAAAUUUUUGGAAGGGUUAUAUGAGGUGUAGGACUGCUUGGAAAACAGCUAAUGUGCCUGAAUUGAUAAGUAGUUCCUGUUGGGUUUCAACUUUACCUACCCCAACUUGCUUGGGACUGAAAGGCUUUGAUGUUGUUUUUAUUGGUUAUAUGAGGUGUAGGACAAAUCUUAUGUUUUUUUUACUAAAUAAAAUGACCUUUGCACAACAGUCUGAAGCUCUGUGGAUUUUUCUUUGGCAUCUGAGAUUUGUCUCAGUAGUUCUUCAUCCCUCUGGUGCGCUUCACUUAGUUCCCUUCUAGUUGUCGUGUUUUGUUCCUUUUCCAUCAUCAAUGAAGACUCCAGUUCUGUCACAUUCUUUUCAAAUCUGCAUUCAACAGACAGGAAGAUUUCUGUACUUCCAAAAUAGUAAGGAUGGGACUCGAUUUACUUGAUUAUGGUUAAGUAUAUGGUAAAGUACCAGCGAGCUUUACAGUACGACAAAUGGAACUAAAAUAAAGGUUUGAGUUGGUUGUAUUAGUGGGCCUUUGCAAGUUAACAAAAAAAAACAAUCCUUAAUCUUUAAUUCUCUAUUACAUCUUCAUCUGCAUCUUGAGCUUCAGUGAGUAAUGGGAAGUAAAGCAUCAUAUACAUUGGCAUUCUUUAGAUCCAUUAGGCUUUGACAAAAUGGGAUAUUAUGACCUCAGCAAAGAAAAAAAUUAGUAUUGAGAUCUGCCUGAUCUUGCUCUAUCACAACGAUAACCAGGACAAUGGCAUGCAUUCACACAGUUUCCUGAAGCAGACAAAUUAGUUUACCAGAGUGUAUUUGAUUUCCUUGCUAGUACUUUGUUUCACUCUUGAGUACUUUAUUUCACUUUUGAGAUUCAGUUAGUGCGAUCUUAUAUUCUUAUUUGCUUCAUAUUAAUAUUUUUCACCUGGAAACCAUACAUACAUUUACUUCUAAUCUGAAUCAACAUAGCCAAAGAGCUUGGAUAGUUUGGUAUGUUCUACUGCAGUACUGCUAGUCUGAAACUGCAGUUACUAGUGUCAAACAGACAAUUCAAUGAACCAACAGAUCUAGAGUGUCCAACUGUUAUCUUAGUAUCAUAAUGUGGUUUAGCAAUGCUAAAUCAGAUCCUGGCAGCAUACACUGUCAGCAUUUAAGUAUGCGUGACUGCAUCAGCAUCCAUGUCUGAUACAUGUGCUCGUAGAGGUUUCUGUGUCUGUCAGAGCUGUGCAUAAAAGUAGCAGUGUUAAGGGAUAUGUUCUGUUGUAGUGAAAGGCUUAGAAAUUAUGUGGUGCUAUCCUGAAAGUAAUACUAGUUUUUAGUAUUGGCUCCUUACAGAAAUUAAGGUCUAAAGUCACUGAGCUACUAACCUUUUUACAGCAUCUCUAAGCUGCUCAAUGUUUUCGUCCGCGGACACAAUUUUUGUAGUCAGUGCAUCAUUUUCUUCCCGAGCAAUAACAAGUGCACUCUUAGUUGCACUGUUUUCUUCUUGUUCUCUUUGUAGUAGUACCUGUCAACAGCCAUCCAUUAAAAAAAUAUCAUGCUACAGAUAAAUAAGUUACUGCUACCAUCAGACUCUAAUCAAAUAUGGGAUAUGUUUUGUAAUCAGCUGUUCUUUUACUGUUUAACAUGAAACAGAUGCUGUAACUGUGUUUUGUUUAUUAGAAUAACUAUUGCAAUGCUUAAAUCCUUGCAAAUAUCUACACAGUUUGGAUAAUUACUAUGUUGAUUUAGGAAAAGAGUACCUUCAGCUCCUCCACUUCGUUAGUCAAUGAAGUGAUCUUUUCUCUUUCUUGAGUUAAAGCUUCUUCAAUGGCCCUUUUGCCUAAUUCUCUUUCCUGUAUCUUUGUGGCUUCUUCCACCCGCUGCUCCAUCUCACGAAGAGCAGCCUGUAGUUUGGAAAUUUCUCCUGCUUUGUUCUUCUCUAGAUCAAUCUGAAAAGUGAUACUGUAUAAGCAUAAAUUCACCAGUUAAUUCAUCCCACGUUAUCUUAAUUCAAGAGCAGCAUCUACCCUAAGUUUCUUUUCCAAGCCCAAACAGCUAGUCAGCUCUACAACAUGCUCCUCAAGUUUCUCCUUCUCCACCUUCAGGGCUUCUGUGUCCCUUGCAGCCUACAAAAUGUACCAAAAAAAAAUAAAAGGGUGUGUAAGUGAAAUAUAGAAUCAACAUGAUUAAAACAAAGACCCAAUUGCUUCAGUACCAUUUUGAGCUUUCGGAGUUCUCCUCUAGCAACCCGUCUUCUCCAUGCACACUGAUAAAUUAACACUGAUCUCUUCAUUUUACAAUAGUUCGAAUAAUCUCUAUGGCAUCGCCACUGAGCCUGCAAGCAACCAUUCUCAGAGUGACAGUUCAGAGAUGAAACAUGUAAGAUAUGAAAGUUGAGAUUUGUAACCAGCCUUCCAUUUAGAUAAAAUAAAAGAAUGAAUCUGUGGUUUACCUGGAUACGAAUAGUGGCUUUAUUUUGUUUUCUGAGAAUGUAUUCUUUAUAAGCACCAAACGCCCUUAGUCCUGUCUGCAACGUAAUGGCUGAAGAGCGUAGCUUAGAAUAAGAGUUCCAAGCAAGAUAGCAGCGGUAACUUUUCUGUAGAUGCAACGCUGCAGCUUGUUUUCUCAGGAAAACACGUAACUUACAAGCCAAUAUUACUGCAAUUGAUAAGGUACUCUCAGAUAUGAUGCAACCUGAGCUAUAAGCAUUGUUUCCACUUGCAAAUACCAAUUAACAACACCUUACCUCUAACAAAAGAUUGAAAAGAUAGUGAUGUCUUGCGUAGUACAAGGAAUUGCUCACGAGCAACAUGAGUGCGAAAUCUACUCUGAACAACUCUAGCUGCUUUAUUCCGCACUUCAGUUCUUCUAGCAUCUAAUUCAGCCAUCUGACCAGCUCUCAGGAAAACCUUUGUUCUUCCAAUCUGUCAUGGACACCGAUAAUUUAAAAUAUCGCGAGAAAAUUUUGUUAUCUCUUUAUAUGCUACAAGCAGGCAUUUCUGCCAUGCAAUUUAUAAAAGAACACACCACGAGGGGAAGUUACGUAUUCCAUAUUGUGAUUGUUGGCAAAAAAAAUGAAAAUCAACAAAAGACUAAAAGCAACUGAUGGAGUAGUUAAAAGUUAGCAGCUGAAUUUUCAGUGGUGUGAACCAAAAUUUUUUGAUGGUAUAAAUCAAUUUUUUGGGGGGGGGGGAAAGAACAAUCAUAAAAAAAUAUGGACUAAUGCCAUUCGCGUGAAUCAUUUUGUUCACUUCUUUAUUAUUUACCACUUCAUAGGCUGUAGUUACUCGACAAGAACAAGCAUUGUGUUUUUACUUUAGUGACUUGUUUUGGAUUAUUUAGAGAUGAAAAGAAUGCAAUAAGCAUAUAACACACAUAAAAGGAGGAUUAGUUAUAGUUUUCUUCACCUGAUAACCCUGGAGACCUAUUUUGUCCAAAAUCUUUUGGCAGGUCACCUUUUCAUUGUUUCUAUCAGAUAUAAGAGAAGAGUUAUAAAAGCAGGACAGAACUGGCAAUAUUAGUAGAUCACGAAAAAAAUAUUUUUGUUAUCAACUUGUUAAGUAUAUCUAGGCCCAUAUACUCUAGGCCCAUGUGGCCCAUGUGCUCUAUAUACACACACACACACAUCAAGCCUGUGAGAUCAGAACUGCAAGUAGCAGAUUUUUUACUAAAGCACAAACUCGAGAACAACAUUGGCUUUCCAAGGUUAGUAACAAAACUGAGUGCUCACCUUUCCAUGAAAACUUCAGGAGCAAGAAUGCGAAACCGACAGAGAAAAUCAUGAAAUAUUUUUCUUGUAGGAUAUCCAGCACAGCUGAUUCUAAUAGCUUCAAGAACACCCUGAAAUGCCAACAAACAAUUAGAGUAGAGUAAACAAUGGCUGAGUUUCUAUGGAAACUUUGCCAUGAAGAGUGAUCUGUUGCUUACUGAACACCGAAGUUGCUGCAGUACAUUGAUGUUCUCAAAAGUAGUAGGCUUAAGAUUGUUAUUGGGCUUAAUACAUCUAAUGUAAUGAGGCUCCGUAGAACUCAACGUCUCCAUCAGUUCUUGGAGUUGCCACUGAGAGUUACAUGGAAGUACCAGAUAUGAAGUUUACAUGAAACAUAGCUCGAUGGUGAACACAAACUUAUAUAUAUUCUCUUCCCUUUCUCUAUCAAGUAAUAUGCAUUUAUUUUCUAGAUAUGCCAUUUCAAAUAUAGUAACAUUUAUGUAACGCCCCACAUCCAAAAUCUGCCUAUAGCUCAGCUCACCUAUGAAGCUCUUACAUCCAAAAUCUGCAUGUCACCUCUUACACCUUUGUGUUCACUUGGUGUAAAAAGGUAAUUCGGAGGUGCUAUGUCUGAACACAAAGGAUUGGCCCUCACCUACCCAAUAUCUCCCUCCAUCAACCCGCCUCCCUUUCUAACACAGUAACACAUGAAAAGUUUGCACAUGGGACUAAUCUGACCAUGACAAGGCAACUACUAAUGGGCUGCGGGAUUGUAUUUUCAUUAUGUGCAAACUUUUUCUUGUCUUAUCUUGUUUGUUUGUUUAAUUGGAAAAUCAAAUGAUGAUGUUUUUAAACUCUAUAUCUGGACAUAAACCCGAAAACAAGAUAUGUACAAGACAGUCAUAAUUCUUUUAUUCUACUGUUGUGUUGUACAGAAAGUUUGUUGUCUUAAAUAUGCAGAAGGAUAUUAACCUCGUAAACACAUUUUGGUAAAAGCAAACACCAAAAGAACCAUCAUCAAUAGAAAAAAAUCUGAAGUAUGUACCCUAAAUUCUAGAGUUGGGGCCAAAUGUAUCUCUGAGAAAUUUAAUUCUCGAAAGAGAACCAAAGCCAAACUUCAGGUGAAAAAAUGGGACUUCUGUAAAUAAUUUUUCUCCAACCAACUUUGGAAAGGAUUUGAAGGCAUAAUAAGUCAAGUAGGAGAAUCAUACCUUGAAGCGAGUAGCAAUGGAAGACUUUGAUGCUUUUGUGUUCUCCUCUAGUACUGAUGGGAAUAACCCUGACACAAAUGAACACUUGGAAGCAUUAAGUAACUCUUGAUGUUCUACAACUACAUAGUCUCUGUUUUUGUCCAGGAAAUGGUCAGACUGAUAAGUUACCUGGGAAAAAACAUGAAAUUAAAACGAAUGUACUCAACAAAAUGUACUGAAAAGAAAGCUAUAUCAUGAAGAAUGCUUACUUCUCCCGCAUAAUGUUGUAUGUUAAAUGCAGUGCGAGAAAGCUUUGGUUUGCUAAAUCUUUUGUUAUUCCUGAAUUUCUCAUACAGCUUCUGAGAAAAUGAUUCAUGUGUGCAUUUAGGAAACAUACUGGUGCACAAAAAUAAACCAAAAACAAAAGAAUCUCCAUUAGAAGAAUUGAUUUGGAAAUAGAAAUGAACAGUGCUCUUUAUAGAAUGAAAGGAACCAUUUAGACCAGUCUCAGUGGAGGUUUCAUCAAAAGUUUCAUGACCAUUAAAUAACAUGCCACAUCAGCAAUUUUGCUGACAUGGCAAGAUCAUUAUGAGAGGAGAGGAGAGGGAGUUUCAUCACCAUGAAAUCCAGCAGUCACAGUUAUCUAGUUCUCAGCCUUGGUAAAUGUGCCAUGAAACUGUGCACUGAGACUGACCUUAGAACUACCUUUUAUAUUAAAUGCAAUACAAGAAGUUCAGACUCACCAAGCUUCAUCAAGAAGUGCAAUAAUGCCACCAGGUUUCUGAAAAUAAAGAGGGAAGAAAACAUGAAAGGGUUUAGGUAAAAAUAUAACGAUAAUACACGUUUACAUUAGCCCCUAGCACUGCCAACAGGGGUGAAGCCAGCUGACAUGGACGCUGGGGUCAGCUUCAUUAACACGGUGGGGUCAGCUUAGAGAUUAACGUUGUUUUGUUAAGGAUUUGUAGGAUUUUAUCUGGGUCAGCUGACCCCGAUAAAAGAGCCUGAGUAAAUUUUACUAUGGGUCCAUAAGCUUUUCCUGAAGUUCCAUCUAAGUCCAUGAACUAAAAAAGCGGUCAUCUAAGUCCACAAUCUAUUAAAGAGUGGUUGUGGACGUCCACGAGCGUCCACGUAAGCACAUUUUGCCAGCGUGGUAAAAAAUUGCAAAAGAUGGCCUGCGUCUCUCAUUUUCUCACUCUCUCAUCCUUGUCCUCAUCGCCGAGCUCGCCCCCGUCCCUGCCUCUGCCUGCAUAGCGGCACCACCAGCAGCACGGCCACGCUGCCGCGGAAGGGAGUGCCAGGGGGUUGUGGCCACAGCCCACCAGCCCUCCCCCUCGUCAAGUCAAGUCAAUAAAGGUCACGACUACAAGGGAUAAAAAUAACAGCCUACUCACUGACAUUGCACUUCGUGGAUGUUUUAUGAGAAAAGGAGAGGCAGAUAUCAGCACUGUAUUCGCAAACAGCAAAAUAGCUCAUCCACAGGUCAAAAAAUACUGGAGUAGUGACUGAUGAUAUUUUUUUCUUAAAACUGUUUUGGAUGCAUUUGAGGGAAGGCCUAUUCUCAUAAGUUCAGGUGGUCCACAGCAGUGCAACAGCACCACCACAUUCUCCACAGUGCCCACAACUACAGCGACAUAGGGAUAAGCAGAUAUCUCCUCAAUUAGAUGUUUUGCCUCAAGUUAAAACAUAGGAUUCAGUUAGUUAGCUAUAAUUUUAAGCAAGGAUUAGACCUUAAAGGUACAUCUAAUAGGCAGGUCAGAGCCUCCUGCUUGGCUGGAAUCACAGUUGAGACACCUUCAUCUAACCUUAUCCCCUACCCAACUCAACAUACCAUAUCAAAACCAAGUAAUGUCAUGGUGAUAAUGACCAUUAUAGGACUGGAAGAUGCAAGGCUAAGCUGCUUAAAUUAAAACUAAAAAAAUAACAACACACCUUCUCAAUCAAGUCCAGAACAUCUUGGUUGUCAACAAAUUCUAUGUAGCUCCAGUCGAUCUGCUCCCUGUUAUACUCUUCCUGCUCCAUUUUAAAGACAUUCUGCCAAGAAAAUACUAACUCUUUUACCAACCCAUAGAAGCAAAGAGAAGUAUAAUAUUGUGAACAUCCAAACAUUUGUUCCACAAGUACCUGAUUAAAAUGCUGUUGGAGUUUUUCGUUGGUGAAAUUGAUGCAUAAUUGCUCAAAGCUAAUUCCAUAUUAUGAUAAAGACAGGAGACAUCCAUGAAUGGUCUUCAAUUGUAAAUUGAAAUCAUACUUAAGUUAAUAAUUUACCUAUUAGUCUUAAAACUUUCAAAACCAUAGAUAUCAAGUACUCCAAUCAAUCGGUCAGAGGAUGUAUCUUGUCCUAUGGAUGCAUUUAGUCUGUUUACAAGCCUGUGCAUGGUACAAGCACACACGCUUACAAGGGUGCAUUGUGUACAUGAUUUAGGAAUGAAGUACACAGUCGUAUUCACUACCAGUCAAAUAAUCGAGAAUAUAUCUGCUUUGCUAAGCCAUCCCUGCUAACAGUAGCAGAAUUAGGAUCAACUGUUGUGGUUAUAACUCCUUCUGGUGUAUUUAUUUUCCUCUUUAUCAGCACAUUCUCCAGGUUCCCGCCAUCACACCUGUAAUCAGAAUGCCACAAUGCAUCAUAGGUUAUAAAUGUGAAUGUACAUGCAUAUUACGGAUUGAGUCCUUAUUGUACCCCCUUUCCUGUUCUGUAUUUUACAAGAAAUAAACAGAAUUUAUAGAAAAUUAUAGAAAAAUGAAGGAAAUAUUAGGCAUACAUCAAGAGCUCUGCUGCUGCAUUAAGAUGGAACCUAGCUUUCUCAUCCUUUAAUAAAGAUGAAUCUACCUCUCUCCCUUUCACAAAACUGAUAUUCCCAAGGUGGAGCACAGCAGCAACUACCCGGAAUGUGGCCUCCUGCAAUAUUAUGUGUUGCUUAAAACAGGUUACACAUCCACAUCAUAGAAAGGGUUGAGAAAUUCAUGUCUGAAACCUGCUCCUGCUCAGUAAUACCAACUGUAUUCAUCGCACUUCGUGUUGCAAGAUACUCCUUAGCAUCACUAAUUUCGUCAAGUUUAAUGCACGUGGAUUGAUUGAGAUAGUGAAACGAUGAUGGCUCAGCCAGCUUAUACCUUUUGAUAUCCUGCCAGCAGGGUAUAUUCAUCAGCCAAGAAUCGGAUACACAACCAGUCAAUCAAUUGAGCUAGCAAAGUACC